rnacentral:rRNA from 1 species
GACGAACGCUGGCGGCAGGCUUAACACAUGCAAGUCGAACGCCCCGCAAGGGGAGUGGCAGACGGGUGAGUAACACGUGGGAACGUACCCUUUUCUACGGAAUAACCCAGGGAAACUUGGACUAAUACCGUAUGUGCCCUUCGGGGGAAAGAUUUAUCGGAAAAGGAUCGGCCCGCGUUGGAUUAGCUAGUUGGUGGGGUAAAGGCCUACCAAGGCGACGAUCCAUAGCUGGUCUGAGAGGAUGAUCAGCCACAUUGGGACUGAGACACGGCCCAAACUCCUACGGGAGGCAGCAGUGGGGAAUAUUGGACAAUGGGCGCAAGCCUGAUCCAGCCAUGCCGCGUGAGUGAUGAAGGCCUUAGGGUUGUAUAGCUCUUUCACCGGAGAAGAUAAUGACGGUAUCCGGAGAAGAAGCCCCGGCUAACUUCGUGCCAGCCGCCGCAGUAA